UGGUUGAAGAUUGUCCCAAAGCGCUUUCCGUACUUGCAAUUUCGCACAUGCACGGGACGACGCAUCCAUUUUCCACCUGUCCUUGGCCAACUUUUGUAAAUCUGUUAUCAUCCAUAAAUUAUUUGGCUCUGAAUGUGGAGGUGCAAACAGUUAAACUUAAAACUCAUUCGAAGUCGAAGUCAUGUUGAUGUUUUACAUUUAAGGACUACAGAGAGCCAGGUAAAGUAUUAUUCAUCAUCUGUAUUUAAUUUAAAUACGUGGAAUUAAUGUCUAAAUACUGUAUUUGGGUAUAAAACAAAUGAGCACAUAUUUAAUUGACAAAGGUUUGGAGGCAAUGUGGUAAGAAUCCAUGCAUGUGGUUGUUCUACUCUAUAUUACAAUGCACAUUACACAUACAUCCAUAUAAAUUGGUUACAGAUACAUUGAACCACCAACUAAAAACAUUUAGCCAAAAGCAAACUCAUGUUCCCUCUACACCAGGGGUGUCACACUCAAGUUUCAGAGAGGGCCAAAAUUAAGAAAUGGUACUGAGUGCCAAACAGUCUCAUAGUGCUGUCUUAAUAUUAUUAUUAUGGACACGCCAGCUCCACUUUUGAGGCAAACUGGAUAUAAUUGUACCACGGCCAGAUGUAGCCCACAGAGUUUGAGUUUGACAUGCCUGCUCUACACCAUAUGUGAUCAUUUUAAAUAUAUUUGUUUUAACUUAAGAGACUCGUAGUGAAUUUGUGUUUUAAUACAGGUAAAUGCAGAAUUCACCCUCAUCACCACAGUCCCCCGUUCUCAACCUUUAUGUCCCGACUGGAUCAUUACUAUAGCCAGCUAUUGAGGGUAUUCAAAAAGAAGGGGGGAACAGCAAGACGUGAUAUCGACAUAAUCAUUGCAGAAAUGGACAUGAAUCCCAGUGUUGAAGUACGACAGACAUGCAUCCUAAAGGCGUUGUGCGUCUACUUAAAUGAAAAGCCUGACAGCCUUAUUAAGGAGUACUGGGCUACUGAGGAUAUUGGUAUUGAUGCAAUGACAGAAAUGGAGAGACUGGCUUUGGGUGUCUACAUUGUUCGAUAUGAUGGAGCAGAUGCUUCAGAUCCACCUGAGGAUGUUGGCGUCGUCAUUGAAGGCUGCACAGUGCUGCGAGAUCUGAGAGAGGUUGCAAAUGGAUGUGCAGUCCUGUUUGGCUUGAUCUAGUGUUUAAACUUGAGCUAUCCCAAGGAGCUGCGAUACACUUUCGAAUUUCUUCAGAAAGUGUCUAUGGAAUUGGAUGGGAACAAGCUCUCCACUAAAGUGCAGGUCCUCAAAAACAAACUGCAUGAGUAAAAUCACCUGCACCAGACAAGACUGGACCUGGCUUUGGACACUUUAAUUGUGUUGACUGUUACUUUAUUUUUGGACUGCUGCUAGACAAAAUAAAGCUGUGAUCAAUGAUGGUUUGUAAUAAGCAGACAGGACUGCAGUUGGUCAUCGACUUGCUUGGGGAGGCUCAGUUCUUUGGAUUUUGGACUGCUGCUAGACAAAACAUCUAGCAAUCUAAAGACAAUGUUGGUUGUGGUAAUUGGCAUUUAAACUUCUCUUGUUUUCUGAUUUCUUCAGAAUCAAAAGAUGUGAAAUACAACAAACACUGGUUUGUUAUAAUGAAACCAUCUCAAACAAUUUAAGGUGAAGAUUGUUUUUUGUUAUGUAAACAUUGCUGAUUUUCUAUUUCUCCUGUUGAUGCAAACUAUAAACCUUGUAUUUUUCAUAAAAAUGUUCUUGAUAAGUCAGCAUGUAUGUAAAGUCUGAACUUAGUAUGUUCUAACGGUGAAGUGCGAAUUUUCUGCAGCAUAAAUCCUCUUGAUUGUAAACUUCAGUUAAUUUAACCUCCCUCCAUAUAGAAAACAAGGAUUUGCCUCUUUAGUUUUUAUUUCAGUAGGCAACACCUGUUAGACAUUGUUGACGUCAAAGUUCAGAUUUACUAUAAAGCUGUAAUGGGAUUGAACAUUAUCGGAUGGUGAAAGAUUCACAGACAAGUUUUAUAUUUUAUAUAUAUAUAUAUUUUUUUUUAUAGUGGUCUAUUCUUUGCACAUCUUUUUUUUUUUUUUUUUUUUGGAAUUCAUCCUUUUAAUGGGAAUUGAAACAUGUGAAGUGCUAAAGUCUACUGAGGCCUCAAGGUAAAAAAAAAAUAUUUGUUUAAAAAUAUAUUUUGUUCUUGGCAGGAGUUUGGCUCUCAAAAUUUCAACUAAAAUGGAAUGGUUAAAUAUAUUAGGCUACUGCAUAUACAUGAUUAUUUAGGCUCAUUGUGUUUCUGACAGUUUAAAAAAAAAGAAGGAUAAAUUACUGUAUAUCUCAUUGUCCCAAUGCCAAUGAUGUAUUUUGUGAUAAAAUUUGAUGAGACACAUCAAAUGAAAUCUGGCACAUAGUGGACAUGCAGUGCAACAAUCAUUUUUCCAUAUAUUUGAAAGUCAUGUUAGUCCGAGUUGUCAAAUUGUUUUUUUUUUCCUUGAGAAAAGUUUAUAGUUAAAGGAGUUUAUUAAGCUAAAAAACAAUAAGGAUUUGCCUCUAUUUUUUAUUGCGGCAGGCAAUACAUGUUAAACAUUCUUGAUGUUGUCAAAGUUCAGAUUCACUUUUGGGACUAUAAAGCUAUAAUGGGAUUUAACAUUAUCAGAUGGUGAAAGAGAUUCACAAACAAGUUUUAUAUUUUUGAAUUAUUAUUUAUAUUGAUCUAUUU
ensembl:lncRNA